rnacentral:rRNA from 1 species
AGGGCACCACCAGGAGUGGAGCCUGCGGCUUAACUUGACUCAACACGGGAAAACUCACCCGGCCCGGACACCGUAAGGAUUGACAGAUUGAGAGCUCUUUCUUGAUUCGGUGGUUGGUGGUGCAUGGCCGUUCUUAGUUGGUGGAGCGAUUUGUCUGGUUUAUUCCGAUAACGAACGAGACUCUGGCCUACUAAAUAGAGACAGGAUUAUUACUGUCCUGGAUUCUUCUUAGAGGGACAAGUGGUUUUCAGCCACACGAAAUUGAGCAAUUACAGGUCUGUGAUGCCCUUAGAUGUCCGGGGCUGCACGCGCGCUACACUGAAGGAAUCAGCGUGCUAAAACCAUUGUCGAAAGGCAUUGGUAAACCCCUCAAAAUCCUACGUGAUUGGGAUCGGGAAUUGCAGUUAUUUCCCUUGGGCGAGGAAUUCCCAGUAAGUGUGGGUCAUAAGCUCGCGUUGAUUACGUCCCUGCCCUUUGUACACACCGCCCGUCGCUGCCCGGGACUGAGCCGUUUCGAGA